rnacentral:rRNA from 1 species
AUGUGUGCAUAUUUUAGAUCUCUUCUCAAAUUUAAAAGCUCUUAAAUCUUACAUUCAAAUCCACCUUCCGUCAUUUUUACAAAUAACCUCCGUAUAGUUAUAACUAUUGUAACUCACUUUUCCUUAAACAUAAACUACACCUUGACCUGACAUAUUGUUUCUACACACCUUGAACAUGGCUUCUCAGCAUUUCCUGAUGACGGCGGUAUAUAAGCCUGAAUUUAAGUUAGUUAAAGUGGGGAUUAUCAAUUAAAAAACAAGUUCCUCUGAUAAGAUAAAAUACCGCCAAAUUCUUAGAGUUUCUU